rnacentral:rRNA from 1 species
UACGAAGGGUGCAAACGUUGCUCGGAAUUAUUGGGCGUAAAGCGCACGUAGGCGGUCUGUCGCGUCUGCUGUGAAAACUCAGGGCUUAACCCUGAGCUUGCAGUGGGUACGGGCAGACUAGAGUGCGGUAGGGGAGACUGGAAUUCCUGGUGUAGCGGUGAAAUGCGCAGAUAUCAGGAGGAACACCGGUGGCGAAGGCGGGUCUCUGGGCCGUAACUGACGCUGAGGAGCGAAAGCAUGGGGAGCGAACAGG